AGAUACACUGCACAGCUACCCUAGCGUUAACCUUUUAAGUUAAAGACUGAGGGGUACACCCUCUG
rnacentral:tRNA from 1 species